rnacentral:rRNA from 1 species
GUUUGAUCCUGGCUCAGGAUGAACGCUAGCGGCAGGCUUAAUACAUGCAAGUCGAACGGGAUUCGGGGUAGCAAUACUUUGAUGAGAGUGGCGCACGGGUGCGUAACGCGUAUGCAACCUACCUUUAACAGGGGAAUAGCCCCGAGAAAUCGGGAUUAAUACUCCGUAACAUUGCGGUGUGGCAUCACACUGCACUUAAAGCUGAGGCGGUUAAAGAUGGGCAUGCGUGACAUUAGCUAGUUGGUGAGGUAACGGCUCACCAAGGCAACGAUGUCUAGGGGUCCUGAGAGGGUUAUCCCCCACACUGGUACUGAGACACGGACCAGACUCCUACGGGAGGCAGCAGUAAGGAAUAUUGGUCAAUGGGCGCAAGCCUGAACCAGCCAUGCCGCGUGCAGGAAGACGGCCCUAUGGGUUGUAAACUGCUUUUGUCAGGGAAUAAACCCCCGCUCGUGAGCGGGGCUGAAGGUACCUGAAGAAUAAGCAUCGGCUAACUCCGUGCCAGCAGCCGCGGUAAUACGGAGGAUGCAAGCGUUAUCCGGAUUCAUUGGGUUUAAAGGGUGCGCAGGCGGAUUGGUAAGUCAGGGGUGAAAUCCCACAGCUCAACUGUGGAACUGCCUUUGAUACUGUCAGUCUAGAGUAUAGUUGAAGUUGGCGGAAUGUGUCAUGUAGCGGUGAAAUGCUUAGAUAUGACACAGAACACCGAUCGCGAAGGCAGCUAGCUAAGCUAUAACUGACGCUCAUGCACGAAAGCGUGGGGAUCAAACAGGAUUAGAUACCCUGGUAGUCCACGCUGUAAACGAUGAUUACUCGAUGUUGGCGAUACACAGUCAGCGUCUGAGCGAAAGCAAUAAGUAAUCCACCUGGGGAGUACGAUCGCAAGAUUGAAACUCAAAGGAAUUGACGGGGGCCCGCACAAGCGGAGGAGCAUGUGGUUUAAUUCGAUGAUACGCGAGGAACCUUACCUGGGCUCGAACGUAAGAUGAC